AGCCUCUGUGGUGGUGGGAAGGCAGGCGGUGCACGUUUAGAUGUGGGCCAUUAUGUGGGGACCUUGCUUCAGGCAAGCACUCUUUCUGUUCCUGUGAAAUGAGUCAGAAAGGGUCAAGGUGAUUCCCUGUCGGAGGAAACCCCACGAUUUCAGGAAAGAAAGGCUUAGAGACACUCAGAGGCUGAGUGGGGAAUGGAAUCAGGGUCUCGGAUAAGAUGUGGAAGGAAAGACCAUGAGGUUGGAGACAGAGUGGAUUCCGCCCUGGAGAAUGUAGAACCUGUGAUUGUGCUGUAGGUGCAUGGAUGGAUGGGAGUCCAGAAACUGGGGCCUGACUAGGCCUACCUGACCCCAUGAGAAGCACUGGAUUCUGGAUAAUCAGAACCAAAGGGGCUACAGAGCCCACAGCAUCCAAUCCAGUACACUGAUGGGAAAACCAAGGUCUAGAGGAGAAGGGGAUAUGUUUUAGGUUACCCAGUGUGUCAGGGGUAGGGGUCCUGCCUUCCAGGCCAGAUCAUUUACCAACCAUGUUCAGG
rnacentral:lncRNA from 1 species